rnacentral:rRNA from 1 species
UUUAAUUGAAGAGUUUGAUCAUGGCUCAGAUUGAACGCUGGCGGCAGGCCUAACACAUGCAAGUCGAGCGGUAACACAAGGGAGCUUGCUCCUGAGGUG